rnacentral:lncRNA from 1 species
GUUUUUGAUUCCUCUUCUGCUUCUUUUUUUUGUUUUCGACUUCCCUAAUUUUGCCUGGACUGUUUUUUUUUUCUUGCAGUCCAUCGGGAUACCCUAAUUUUUGCCUAAGUCACUUGUUUUCAAGUUUCGACUUAGCGGGAUUUUUCUCUCUCUUUUUUUUGGAGUUUUUUUUUGUGGAAAAAAUCGUGUGACAUUUGUUUAUUUGGUUUGAAAGGGUUUGGGGUUGCCUCACUUUUUUUGUUG